ACAGGGCAUGUUUGCUUGUUUGAAAGGCUCCCUGGCUGGCACACACUGAGGGGAUAGGCUGCUGCUUUCUGUCUGCUUGGUGUGUGUGACUAUGUGUGUGUGACUGUGUGUGUAUGUGUGUGAGUUUGUGUGAGUGUGUGUGAGUAUGUGUGUGUGUGUGGGUGCAACACUGGUGCAGUGCCCGUCUGGGGGUGAAUGAUCUGGGCGCAGUAGGGCAUCGCCGCUUUAAAUCCAGCCCCUGAGGUCAUGUGUAGAGUUCAGCUCGGAUCGGAGCAUUCUUCAGCCGGGGAGCAGCACAAGUGAGUGGAUUUGCAGAAUUGUAGCCCAAGCCUGGGACAUAUUCUGGAAGGGUGACAGACAAUGAUCCUACUGAACCAGCCGCCCCCUUCAGUUUUAUCUUUAAAGGAAGCUCCUGUCUGAUUCUCAAGACAGUGUCUGGAUGUAAGUUAAAUUGGAUCUCCCUGAACUUAAUGCUUUCCAGAUUUUACACCUAAAGUCACAAUUCACCAUUGAAGAGAUGCUGGAAGAAGAGAGAUUGAGAACAACAGUGAAUGAAGAAAAACAUGGAUAAAGACCUAUUUUUUCCUCAAUACAGCAGAACUGCAGGGAAGAACUGAGUGAAUUAACAAACGCUGUGCUAUUAAGAGAAACUAAAUGCAUGACAAACACUCAAGAAAGCAGCUGUGGGAGGAAUAUGAUCGGAACAGCUGCUCUGAUGUGGUGUCUUCGCAGAAGUUUCAUUUCAGUGCUGCAAUAUGAUGACCAUUCAAACAUGAAUUAUUAAAAAAGUAAACAAAGGAGGCCAGCUACAGGUUUAAACCUUUCUUGGUGCUAUUAAAAAGCUAAUGAUGGAAAAUACGUUCUAACAUCAUUCAACUUAAUACAUAACAGGCAGUGUUUGUACACUCGGGCCAUGGCUUGAUACAUUUUACAUAUGAUUUAUUUCCUCUGUUGACUUUGAACCACGCAUAAGAAUGAAAACACUGUACUAUUAAACUUUUUAAGUGUUACUUACAUUUUGUAUUUAGUAGUUAGUCCUUAUAAAAAACAGCACUUAAUGUUUUUCGGGUUAACACACUUGCUGCCAUAUUUUCUAUUCUGCAGGGUACAGGAUGGAAGCAGCAACUUUCCUGAUGCAGAGUUCUUAUUGUCUGUAGUCUAGCUACACUAUGUAACUAUAUCUUAUAUGCUGCAGUGUUAAUAGCUGUGAUUUCAGUUUCCAGAAAAUAAGUUCUUGGAGAAAAUGUAUUAUUCAAAUGUUUGGGCUGAUAAUUAUCUCCUUGUUCAAAUAAGAAAUAUACAAUUUCUUGAAACAACAUGAAUUAUAUUUGUUGUAAGUGAACACAAAUCUCUUUAGAUGGGUUAUGGAGUGCAUUUUGGGGUACAACUGAUGUCUCUUUGACUACAGGAAGUAUCUCUUAUUGGAAAAUCGAACUAUUAGAUUAAUUGAUUCAUUCUGUGUUAUGUGCCAGUGUUUAGACAAAUCAUUUACUUUCUCGUGUCUCGUGAAUUUCUUAGAGACUCUUAAACACAGGGAACCUAUAUGCAUGGCGGCAUGAACUGAUUUCAGCUGCUCUUCUAUGAAACAAGAUUAUUAUUUGUUACAAAAGAAUUGUGAUCUCUAUAAAUUGUAAGGAAAUACUUUAAUAAGUCCUGAUACAUUUUCCUUUAGUGUAUUGAUUCCUUACUAUUAGUCACUGUGGGGUUCCUUCUUUGUGGAAUGUAAAAGUUGUCUUAUGAUGGUCUAUCUGACCUAACAUUUAGAAUUUGCCCAUGAAUGGGACUACAAUCUUCUAAAUGGAUAGGGACUAAAUUCUUUUUAAUAUGGAAUUCUUGUCCAUAUUUAUAGUCAGAUAUAGGGAUCGUUGGCCAUAAGCUAUUAGUUUCAGUGAUGUCUUUACCAUUUUCUUCUUGAUCCUCAGGAUUUGCCUAAUAUGGUUAGGAAGGUAGGUUUCCCAGUAUUAUAUAUCAUGUCAUGAUGCACUUUGCUCAUGAUAUUGCAGUUAUAAGCAUACCAAUCUCAUGGUCAUGAUAUAAGCCAUCAUUCUUAAUGAUCUUCAAAUCAAUAUUCUGUGUCUGACAUUUCCCAUGAGACUCUAGGUGCCUAACACUGACCCUAAUGGGAAGUCGCCUAUUAAAGAGAAUGGAAGGAAAAGAAUAAUAUGGAUUUUUACAUCAAUGCAGAAAAUCUCUUGUUUGUGGAUAAUGUGUUUUACUAGUGCAUUAUGUCAAGACAUGCUGGCAGAUAACAGAGAAAAAAAAGAGUAAGAUUUUGCACACUUCCUUCAUCUAUCACAUGAUAAACAAAUAAUAAUAAUAAUAAAUAAUUGCAGCUGUGGGUCCUUUUGCUCCCCCCACCUCCAUCUGCUACCCUUUAAUCUUUCCCAAGCAUCGGUGCAGAGACUAUAACCCAGGUUUUUCUCGGUUAGAUGGACUCAAACAUUUGUUAAAUGACAGAUGUAGCAAUAAUGUCUUGACAGAGACUAUGUAACCGUUGCCUUGCUGGGGAGGCCUGAUUAGUACUGUAAUUAUCAAUAUGGUCCUGUAUAAUGAAUCCUAUAUGAAAGGAUUCAUUAUGCUCUGAAUUGUGGGCUGAUUUAUGAAAAUGUGAUAUGCUAGACCAACCAUUCUUUGCACUCAGUCAUGCGUGUUGCUCUCUGAAGGACCUUGCUUUUUGAGGCAGCUUGUCAUUGAAAAUAAGGGAGGAAGAGACUUUUACAAAAUACAUACAGAAGGUGUAUUACUGGGGAGUGGACCUCCAUAGCAUUAACCAAAGGCAAAGUGUUAAACAAAGGCAACAAAAAAAAAAAACAAUUAUACAAAGGAGAAAAUAAAUAUAAAUUAAAAAAAAAAGCAAAUUUUUUGACCUGUUUCAAUCUUAACACACCACUCUGCUUUUUUACAUUAAUGCUCAAAAUGUAUAAAUAAAUAAACUGUGUGUAAACUGUGUGUUUAGUGGCUAUUAACCCCCAUAUAAGACACUGGCUGCAAUUUUUACUCUCCCCUAUAUCUGGACUGCUUAAAAAUAGUUAAAGACAACAUGACAGGGGCUAGCAGCUAUAAAUCAGCAUACAGCAAUUCUUCAAAUUGCUUUUCCCUUUUAUUCUAGCUCCAGCAUUUGCAUUUGGCCCAUAGCCUUAGAUUUACUCCAGGCUGACACAGCUAAGCCAGAAUACCACUAUAGCCCAUCAGCCCCAACAUUAAAGGGCAACAGAUAACAAAACUGAAAAUUUCCUACACACAUUAAUAUCUAAUGAACACUUAAGGGUUGUAUUUAUAACUGUCCAAAAUCAAUUGUGAUUUUUGCAACUUCAUUACUUAUCAGGUCAUGUUAUGUUGCAUCAUUGUACAAACAUGCUUUAAAGGAAUUGUUCAGUAUAAAAAUAAAAACUGGGUAAAUAGAUAGG